UUGAACGCUGGCGGCAGGCUUAACACAUGCAAGUCGAGCGGAAACGAUGGGAGCUUGCUCCCAGGCGUCGAGCGGCGGACGGGUGAGUAACGCGUAGGAAUCUGCCCAGUAGAGGGGGAUAGCCCGAGGAAACUCGGAUUAAUACCGCAUACGCCCUACGGGGGAAAGGCCGGGAUCUUCGGACCGGUCACUAUUGGAUGAGCCUGCGUUGGAUUAGCUAGUUGGUGGGGUAAAGGCCUACCAAGGCGACGAUCCAUAGCUGGUCUGAGAGGAUGAUCAGCCACACUGGGACUGAGACACGGCCCAGACUCCUACGGGAGGCAGCAGUGGGGAAUAUUGGACAAUGGGCGCAAGCCUGAUCCAGCCAUGCCGCGUGUGUGAAGAAGGCUCUAGGGUUGUAAAGCACUUUCAGUAGGGAGGAAGGCUUAUCCUUAAUACGGAUGAGUACUUGACGUUACCUACAGAAGAAGCAC
rnacentral:rRNA from 1 species